GGAAUAUUGCGCAAUGGGCGAAAGCCUGACGCAGCAACGCCGCGUGGGUGAAGAAGGCCUGCGGGUUGUAAAGCCCUUUCGGUGGGGAAGAAAAGCCUCGACCUAAUACGUCGGGGUCUUGACGUAACCCACAAAAGAAGCACCGGCUAACUCUGUGCCCGCAGCCGCGGUAAUACAGAGGGUGCGAGCGUUAAUCGGAAUUACUGGGCGUAAAGCGCACGUAGGCGGCUCUGCAAGUCGGGUGUGAAAUCCCCGGGCUCAACCUGGGAACUGCAUUCGAUACUGCAUUGCUAGAGUAUGGGAGAGGGAAGUGGAAUUUCCGGUGUAGCGGUGAAAUGCGUAGAUAUCGGAAGGAACACCAGUGGCGAAAGCGACUUCCUGGACCAAUACUGACGCUUAGGUGCGAAAGCGUGGGGAGCAAAC
rnacentral:rRNA from 1 species